CAGUAGAACAACAAGUAGCGGAGGUAGCUGCUACUGAAAACAUUGCCACCGGAAACCUGCCGAACUCCGAGAAAAAAAUGCCGAGUAUAAUUCAAAACCAAUAAAGAUGUCGCUAAAGACGACCUUCCCUUUUCCCAUAUUCGCGCCACAAGUUCCUUCUCACCGACCGGCGACCGAAGUUCGUUUCUCCCGCUGGAACAACGCCAACGCUGAGAGGUUCCUCCGCCGUGAACGCGCCCAGAAAGAAAUCGAAGAUGAAAUCCGCCGGGAGAGACGUUUUGACUCAGCCUCAAGAAUUGCUGAUGAUUACGAUAACGAGGCCACCAACACCUCCAUCAUCGCUACCACCACGGGCAAUGAAAACUUUAAGUCCAUCGGAACGCCUUCCUCUCCUUCUCGUUCAUCUAUUCCUGGAAAAGCUUCGAAGUACUCCAAAAACCCUAAUUCUGACUCCAAAUUCUCGCACCCGGCGUUCCGUCGAGUUUCAAAGGUUUCCAGGCUUCCUAGGGUUCCUCCGGAGACUGAAACCGGUGUCACCGUUGGGGAAAACGGAGUUUCGUAUACAUUCCCAAAUGCGCCGUUUGAAUUUCAGUACAGUUAUACUGAGACACCAAAGGUGAAGCCAUUAGCGCUGCGUGAGCCACCAUUUGUGCCAUUUGGACCAAGCACAAUGCCUCGGCCUUGGACUGGAAGAAAGCCGCUUCCUCCGAGCAAGAAGAAGCUGCCUGAGUUUGACUCAUUUCGGUUGCCGCCACCACAUAAGAAAGGGGUGAAACCGGUACAGUCACCGGGGCCUUUUUUGGCGGGCUCAGGGCCGAAGUAUGUGAGGUCGAGGGAGGAUAUUUUGGGGGAGCCUUUGACGGAGGAAGAGAUUAAGGAUCUUGUUCAGGGAUGCUUAAAGUCAAAGAGGCAAUUGAAUAUGGGUAGAGAUGGAUUAACACACAACAUGUUGGAUAACAUUCAUGCUCACUGGAAGCGGCGGAGAGUAUGCAAGAUAAAAUGCAAAGGAGUCUGCACAGUUGACAUGGACAAUGUCCGCCAACAGUUAGAGGAGAAAACAGGAGGGAGGAUCAUCUACAGUAGAGGAGGGGUUCUACUCCUAUUCCGUGGCAGAAAUUACAACUACAGGACUCGCCCUCGAUUUCCUCUUAUGCUUUGGAAACCUGUUACCCCAGUGUAUCCAAGAUUGAUUCAGCGUGUUCCAGAAGGUCUGACACUGGAGGAAGCAAGUGAAAUGCGCAAGAAAGGGUGGAAUUUACCACCAAUAUGUAAACUUGGAAAAAAUGGUGUAUAUUCUGACCUUGCUAAAAAUGUCAGAGAAGCAUUUGAAGAGUGUGAGUUGGUUAGAAUAAAUUGCCAGGGAAUGAAUAAAAGCGACUACCAGAAAAUAGGUGCUAAACUCAAGGACCUUGUCCCAUGCGUCUUGAUCUCAUUUGAAAAUGAACACAUUCUUAUGUGGAGGGGAAGGGAUUGGAAAUCCUCCCUUGUGAAUCCAGAAGAUGAUUCUGAGGAAGCUAGGCAAUCUGAAAAAGAUUGUGUUACUGCCACUCCACCUAGUAAUGAUAGUGUGCUGCUUGGAGAACAUCAGGAGACAUUAGAUUUAUGUGAUUCAGAAAGCUCAAACAUGGAUGCAAGUUGCAAUGUUCCUAUUAAUAGCACAUGCUCUUUGAGUAGUGGAGGUGCAAACUUAGAAGGGAAGGAUGGUUUAUCAUUCAAUACUGAAAGGAAUGUGCAGCCAUCUGAAGCUACAAAUGUUGGUGUCACUAUGAAGAAUAUCUCUGGAUCUGGGACUGUAUCAGAUAACAAGGCAGGCACUGCUGAUGAAUCACUGGCCGCACCGUUGGUUUGCAAUGCUCUGAAUACUAACAAUUCUGAAACCAAAUUGGACAGCAUAUGGAAUAAUGAUGAUGAUUCAGAAGCUGUGUCAAUGGGCAAGACAACACUGGAAAAUCUACAAGAAGGCUCAGAAUGUUUAAGUGAGCUGGAAAGUCCCACUACGAAUUGUACAGAUGGAGUAAUAUUACUUUUGAAUCAAGCUAUUGAGAAUGGAAGUGCAGUUAUUUUGGACAGUGCCUCUUUAGAUGCUGAUAUCAUUUAUGAAAGAUCAAUUGCCCUUGCUAAGACUGCUCCCCGUGGGCCUAUUUUCAAGCACAGACCACGUAAGGUCUUCGUUCAAAAGGGGGACAAGCAAGAGACUGGAAAUUCCGAGGUUGAAGAGGCUGUAGCAGUUUUAGAGAAGAAAGGAAAUGUAGAGAAAAAUACCAGACAUCAAAGAACAAAAGGUCUAAAAGGAGUUUAUUCUGAAGUAGUGCCACACGGGAGUCUUGGAGUAGAUGAAAUCGCAAAGUUAUUAGCUUAGCAUUUAAGGCUGAUUAUAUAUUUUUUGAAGUCCUGUCUUUGGAUAAUAAUCCAUUCAACUUGAGAACUAGAUGACUUCCUAGGUUCAUUUCUGUGCAGUUGCUGAUUCUGUGGCUGAGUAUUCAGAAUGGUGGAAGAUGACCGGACCAAUAGAUGUAAUUGGGAACCUUUAUUCACUGACACAGAUAUAGCUACAUGAAAAUGAAUUCACUGGGAUGAUUACAGAGAUCAUUGGACAAUUGUUUUCUUUGACAGAUCUCAAACUCAACUGUAAUCAACAUGUGUGUGAUUGCCACGAGCACGAAAGUAUGCAACUUCAGAAUUUAGAUUUCAACAAUAACAUGUUGAUGAGUCCAAUGCCAGACUUAUGUUUUAAUAAUUUCAGUUAUGAUGGAAAUUUUUUGUCUUUGACUGUCUUAAAAUAUUUGAAACAUUCUUAACUUCUAUUGCUAAAUUUAAUGAAAGUGUGAAGGUUGUUUCAGAUGGAAAUCCUCUAUUUCAACAGUAACCAAUUUGCCACACCUUCCUCGGUUUAGUAAUUCAUUGUCAUCAGGGACUUUGUGUUCUCCAUCCAGCAACCCUUGUCCAACCAAGGGCUCAGAAUCUAAUUCUGAUGUUCCCAGUGAAGAAUAAUCCAAGCCAACAGGUUUAUGGCGAACUUAAUCCUGGUAUUAAGUUUUCAAGAAGAAAAUAUUACAGACAUAAGGGUUCUCUUACUGUUUCUCCCAUGCAAAGCUAUUUGAAAUUUUGAAUCAUAGAAAAGAAGGCAUUGGUAAUGAAAGCUUCAAGAAUGCAAGGGAUUUACCAGAUAUUAUUCAUGAUUUGGAAACUGACAAGUGUGAGUUUUGUAUCAUAGCAUGGCAUGAGAACAAUGGUGGCAUGCAGUAUUUUUGUGGUGUCCAUUAGCAAGGAACUUACACGCCACCAGUACUGUAUAUGUGAUCAAUCCAGUUAUGAUCCAAAAAAACGGUAAAAAACUAAGACUGGAGACCAAUCUUAUAAUAUUAGGGUUUGUAUGACCAACACGAUCUCAAAUCAUUCUAGCCUUAUUCAACCAAUUGAUGUCAGAAUAUCUUAAAAAAUAAAGUAAAUUAAAUACCAGGAUUACAUUUC